rnacentral:lncRNA from 1 species
GCAGGAGCUGGGGCUGCCUCCUUCCCAAACACUGACCGCUCCUGUGGGAGACUUGAGAAUUCUGAGCGCUCAUGGACAUAUUAGCACACUACAAAUAUCUAAAGGGGCUUUGAAAUAUCACUGAGAAGAUAAGUUUUCACAUGCUCUUUGGAGAGUCACGUCCUAUUCUGAGAACCCCCAUUAUCGGAGCCAGCCCAUGGGGAGCACAGGCUUCAGGUUCUAAGCUCGGUGGUCUGGGAGGUCCCAGGAAGAGAAGAACUGAGCCACGGUCCCAGGAAGAGAAAAACUGAUAGUGGCCAGGCUCCAUGUGUGCCCGCCCUGCUCUCCUCGUCUCCCAUGGAUCCAUGUUCCUGGUCUUCACAGCUCUAGUCGUAUUCUCUACUUUCUGCAGAUGGGAUUUAAACCCAGGUCUUCUGGGUCCAGCGUUCCUGCUCUUAAUCAUCCAGGCCUAAGCACAUGGGUUGAAAGUCAUUCACUGCUGUCUCUGGAGGUUGAGUUGUUUUAAAGUGCUGUGAUCUACUAAGUCUUCAGAAAUUAGUUGAUUCAACUGUAAAAUUCUGAGCACAUGAGCUUUCUUUUCUUGAAGACUCAUUACGCUUUCCUUCAACUUGUUCUCAGCAGGCUGAGUGACUGCCCAUCCUGGAGGCCUCCUCAGAAGCCUCAUACCUGACUCUCCGAUGGAGCCCACGGCUCUUCCGUACUUCCUGCCUGUGGUUCCUGGGCCUGGAGUGUGGGCUGGACAGGGCAAGGCCUGGAUUGUGUUCAUUAAACAAGAAGAUAAGCUCAUGGUUACCACAGGGAUGUUCUGUUUGUGCCCCUGCUAGGGGUUUGCUUGGCUUUGGAAGCCUUUCAUGUGCCCCGAAUGCUAUAAACCCUUGCAGUAAGUGUGAAGUGUAUACAGUUUCUGCUACUUAUGGGAGGCACUGAGGGAGUUAAGCACAGUGGCUUGUGUCUGCAGAUUUGAGCUGAAAUUCCAGUUCUGCAGCAUAGGGCUUAACAGGUUCACUCCCCUUCCCCAUCCUCUCAUCCCCCAGGGCUUUACUCUCUCUUCCUUCCACCUGGAUAGAUGCCCUUCUCAUCUUCACACAGCAGAACACUGCUUGUUCUGAGAGCUCGCCCUGCUGAUUCUUCUUCCAUGAGUCAGAAAGCCCACUUCGCUUAUAGGAUGAGAACGUAGAUUUAAAAUCAGACAAAUCUGGGUUCAUACCGUCCUUUUGCUAGCUAGAAAAUGGUUGGAGUUUAUCAGUUUCCUUGAGAAAAAAAGGGAUAAUGAUAUUCUUACCUUUUAAGAUUACUGCAGACAUUAGGAAAAUAUAAACAUAAAAUUAUUAGUAGAGGUUUGAUGAGUAGCCAGUGCUCAGUAAUAAUUAGGCAAUUCUUGAUUGUGUCUGAAUGAGUUUGUGAGUGCAUAUGAGAGUUUGUGUAUGUGAGUGUCAUGCGUGCUCACACAUGUGUCUAGUAAAGGGCAGAUAUUCAUAUAGCUGCUCAGGUUGGUGGAAAUAAUUUCUUUUUACUCUUACUCUAUUGUUCCUCCCAGGACUGAGUUUCUGGCCUGUCUCAAUUUUGACGUCUAAUAUUGCGUUGGUUAAGAAUGCCUUCUCUCUCCCCCACUCUACAGAUAUUCAGAAGUAACUGUGAAGUAAUUGUGGAUGGGAUCCAUGUCUACUUGGUAUGUUUGUCUCCUGAGCAUCUCUUGCCAGUGUAAUUUCAUGACAAUCAUCAGUAUGUAUUGAAUAAAACA